UACGGGGGGGGCAAGCGUUGUUCGGAAUUACUGGGCGUAAAGGGCUCGUAGGCGGCCAACUAAGUCAGACGUGAAAUCCCUCGGCUUAACCGGGGAACUGCGUCUGAUACUGGAUGGCUUGAAUCCGGGAGAGGGAUGCGGAAUUCCAGGUGUAGCGGUGAAAUGCGUUGAUAUCCUAAGGAACACCGGUGGCGAAAGCGGCUCACUGGAUCUCUUCUGACGCUGAGGCACGAAAGCUAGGGUAGCGAACGGG
rnacentral:rRNA from 1 species